rfam:Oryza glaberrima chromosome 9 Oglab09_0169_14, whole genome shotgun sequence.
AAAAAGACAAACCCUGAGUUUCCGUGUCCAACGUUUGACUGUCCGUCUUAUAUAAAUUUUUUUUUAUAAUCAGUAUUUUCAUUGUUGUUAGAUGAUAAAACAUGAUUAAUACUUUAUGCGUGACUUGUCUUUUUAAUUUUUUUAUAUUUUUUUUAAAUAAGACGGACGGUUAAAUAUUGGACACGGAAACGUAGAGUU